CGCAGCAGGCGCGCAAACUUUACAAUGCGAGCAAUCGUGAUAAGGAAACCCUGAGUGCCUGUCGAUGCAGGCUGUUCAUAUAUCUAAAUCAUAUGUGAAGAAAGGGCAGGGCAAGACCGGUGCCAGCCGCCGCGGUAAUACCGGCUGCUCGAGUGAUGGCCACUAUUACUGGGUUUAAAGCGUCCGUAGCUUGACUGUUAGGUCUCUUGGGAAAUCUUCACGCUCAACGUGAAGGCGUCUAAGAGAUACCGGCAGUCUUGGAACUGGGAGAGGUAAACCGUACUUCGGGGGUAGGAGUGAAAUCUUGUAAUCCUCGAGGGACGACCUAUGGCGAAGGCAGUUUACCAGAACAGCUUCGACAGUGAGGGACGAAAGCUGGGGGAGCAAACGGGAUUAGAUACCCCGGUAGUCCCAGCCGUAAACAAUGUGCGUUAGGUGUGUCGGUAACCACGUGUUACUGAUGCGCCGAAGAGAAAUCGUGAAACGCACCACCUGGGAAGUACGGUCGCAAGGCUGAAACUUAAAGGAAUUUGGCGGGGGAGCA
rnacentral:rRNA from 1 species